rnacentral:rRNA from 1 species
AAUGGGCGAAAGCCUGACGGAGCAAUACCGCGUGAGGGACGACGGCUUUUGGGUUGUAAACCUCUUUUCCCUGGGAAGAAGAUCUGACGGUACCAGGGGAAUCAGCAUCGGCUAACUUCGUGCCAGCAGCCGCGGUAAUACGAGGGAUGCAAGCGUUAUCCGGAAUUAUUGGGCGUAAAGCGUCCGCAGGUGGCUCUGUAAGUCUGUCGUUAAAGAAUGGAGCUUAACUCCAUACAGGCGAUGGAAACUACAAGGCUAGAGUUUGGUAGGGGUCACGGGAAUUCCUAGUGUAGCGGUGAAAUGCGUAGAUAUUAGGAAGAACACCAGCGGCGAAAGCGCGUGACUGGGCCAGUACUGACACUCAUGGACGAAAGCUAGGGGAGCG